UUCCCCUGCAGUCCAUACAUCCCCAGCCCGUGCACCUUGUCAUCCUCCCCUUCAGAUAACACUUAUCUUCUCUGUGUUCCUUCUCCUGUGCAGACCUGCGUCCUUAGAAUACAGAGCGGGGGGAGGGGAGGUGCUGUGUACUCAGCUGGAUGAGAUGAGGGGGCGUGGCUUAUUCCUCUCAUGCAGACAGAGGGAAAAAAAAAGAAGAAGAAAAAGCUGUGACAUCUUGUCCACAACAGACUCAGAACUGUGGACAACAGUAAAAGAAAACCCUCUGAACUACAGAACUUCCUGCCCAACAAACAGCUCCACAUUCUAGAAGUUGUAUAUUGCAGGAGGAAACAGCCACAGGAUUUUCCUGGAUUUUCUGCGCUUCUGCUAGAGUAUGGAGAAACGUUGACGUGUUACAGGAUGAUCAAACAUAGAAGCAGGACAGAUGAGCAGCUCAAAAAAAGUAGACAAGAAUAAAAAGAGAAUUGUAAUGUAAAUCACUGAGCGCAGCCGGCGAGCUCAGGUCGGGAGUUUCACACAUUUUACAUCAACUACAAAAUCCUCAGAAACUCAUUGAAGUGUGGCAAGGACUGAAGUCCCUUUGAAGAUGUUAGUUCCAGAAUCUCAGGACUUGGUUUUCUAUUGACUUUUAUACCCAAACAUCUCAGUUAAUUUGAAGCAUUAGUGUUAAUAUUUAAUAUAAUGGAGGUCUCCUUGCUUAUUGACCCCUCUGAUAUUUACUAGGUUCCAAAACUUUGAGGUUUUGAUGAGGAAUUUAUUGCGUUUUUAGAAGGUAAAUUUCCAUCCACAUGUUAAUUGCUGCCUUGAUCUUGUAAGUAAAGUCUGUAGCUUGUUUAUUUUGUUGCAAC